UGGAUUCAAAUCCCAGCACCACCGAACGUCUAGGGCCUUGAGCAAGGUCUUUAAUCCUCAGUUGCUGAGACAAAAAAACCAGAUCGUGAAGAGAAGUGUUAAUGAGAUGCACGCUUUAAUCGCACCGCUCUGCUCGGUUAAGUGACAGUUGAAGGAUGACUAAUGCGCUCCAUUCCCAAACAACCCCUCACCCACCAACCCCCUCCUCCUUCUGCCACGUGAGUCAGCAUCGCUAUGGAAGCUGCUGCGAUCAACAUGGCUGCUGAGGACAUCUGCAGAAAACCUGGAAAAAGAUUUAGGAUUCUAGGGCGUUCCUCCGAGCUGAAGAGCAGAGGGGAAGAUGUGCGCCGACUCUAAAGUGACUCCUGCAGUCAACGCCACAGUAAAGGAUGGAACGCCAAGAGCCAGGCAAUAUAGCAUAGUGAAAGCUGAGCUACGGCUGAGGAAGUCGAGGAGGUGCUGCUGGUGAAAUGAGAGAGAACAGCUGGUCUAAAGAAGGAUCCGAUGGACCGGAUCAAGUCAAUGAAGUGUAGGUUUUUCCCAGAUGUGAGUUGCCAGUUCCAGAUGCGUCUUCUUUGGGUAUAUGUGGAUUGUCUGCUGCAUCAAUGAAGAUCCCCAGCACAACAGUUGUUCUCAGGCUGGCUGUGAUUUGCAAUACCUGAAGAGAGACUCAGUGAAAGUGAAUGGAGAUGGUGAGUAUUAUUAUGUCUGAUCAAGCCACACAACAAAAUCUCAAUUAUAUCCAUGACUGAUAAAACCUCUUCAUCUAAUUACAUGAAAAUCUACUUCACUGUACCACAGGUUUACGUUCCUGUAGUGUAUAAUGUUCCGAACUACGAGCCAGAUUUCAAUAAGAAUGAUUCUAACACAUACCUAUUGGAUUAUUAGUUAAAUUAUUGUUGUUAGUUCUUAGUACUUGGAUCGCAAUCUACACUAUAUGAACAAUAUCGCCACAUUGUGGACAAAAAGGUAGACUGAUAGUCAAACACAGACAGACAGACAGACAGACAGACAGACAGACAGACAGACAGACAGACAGACAGACAGACAGACAGACAGACGGACAAAAAGCUAGAUUGAUAAGCAGAUAAAAUGUAGAUAAAUAGACAGACAGACAGACAGACAGACAGACAGACAGACAGACAGACAGACAGACAGACAGACAGACAGACAGAUAGAUAGAUAGAUAGAUAGAUAGAUAGAUAGAUAGAUAGAUAGAUAGAUAGAUAGAUUGGACGAACAUUGAUUGUAUCGCCUAGGAAAAC